ACGCUCGACACCUACGGGAGCAGCAGUAGGGAAUCUUCCACAAUGGACGCAAGUCUGAUGGAGCAACGCCGCGUGAGUGAAGAAGGUUUUCGGAUCGUAAAGCUCUGUUGUUGGUGAAGAAGGAUAGAGGUAGUAACUGGCCUUUAUUUGACGGUAAUCAACCAGAAAGUCACGGCUAACUACGUGCCAGAAGCCGCGGUAAUCUGAGCGGGCUGGCAAGGC
rnacentral:rRNA from 1 species